AGUACAGAGAGAGAGAACUUGAGAACAAGGUUUUACAGAAAAGGUGAGAAAUGUAUAUGAUUGAUGGGCAGAACAUCUCAAGAGGAGAGGUGAGAAAAGAGGUUGCCAUGGGACCAAAAUAAGAUCCAGGCCAUGUUGUAUCCAGGCCAAGUCUAAUGAUAUCAUCGAAUGUGUUAAGGAUCAUGCCAUUGAACAACAAUGUUCAGGAAAGAGAAACUGAGAGAGUGAGACGUUCAGUUGACCAAAAGACUUUAUUGACAUGAGGGUUAAAUGAUCGCCCUCCAGUGGUCAGGCUCAUAGUCCCAGUCACAGUGAUUUUCUAUAAUAAGAUCAGAAAAUGAAAACAAGAGAACAUGAAGCCAUCAUGGCACCAAUUUAUUGAACUCAUGGAUAGGAAUAAUGUGUUUCCAGUAACUGAGAAGCAUUCAAUAUCCAUUCAACAGAAUUUAUAAAUACACAUAAUAAAAACAUGUGAAGGUGAGUCAUAUCUUGUGUUUCUUAUUUCUUAAAGAUUUUUCCUUAUGCUUGUUUCACAUUUCCUAAGUCACACUUUCAUAUUCCAUUUCUCUCCAUAUCAUGCAUGUAUAUCUGACACGCCUUCUGUUACAUUUGAUCUCUAUCUACUGUGAAAUCCGAGCAUCUUGACUUUGUCAAAAUAACCUGUAGAUAUUAAAGCAGAGAUGGGUUUGCUUUGAGAUGCUGGAGAGAUUAUCUCUGACACGGAGCGGUGUGGCGUCUUUGUAGGGAAAACAAAUGGAAAACAUCCUCAAGAGACACGACUGGAAUCCCGUCGGAAUUCAAUCCGGCACUUCAGAGUCAUGCUGGGAAUGUAAAUUUCAUACAGAAUCACUCAGGGUCUGCUUGCAUUGGACAAUCCAGUGUGCUAUAUAUCCCAAUUACAGAGGCGCUUAUAGACAAAUUGCCUGAUGAAUGCCACAGCAGUGAAUGAUGAGAUGGUUGGAUUUUGUGACCA